rnacentral:rRNA from 1 species
UAAAUUGUUAAAAGGGACGAGAAGACCCUAUUGAGCUUUAAAUUUAAAUAUUAUAGUUAAUUUUAUAUUUAUAUAUUUUACAUAAUAGGAAGUUUUGGUUGGGGUAACCCAGGAAUAUUGAUGAAAUUUCCUGAUUUUUAUGUAAAUGAUAGUUUGUGAUCCAUUAUAGUAAUGAUUAAUAGAUAUAGUUACCGUAGGGAUAACAGCGUAAUCUUUUCUGAGAGU